GAAAUGCGAUAAGUAAUGUGAAUUGCAGAAUUCAGUGAACCAUCGAAUCUUUGAACGCACAUUGCGCCCCCUGGUACCCCGGAGGGCAUGCCUGUUCGAGCGUCAUAUCUUCCCUCGGGGUCCCCGUUGGGGUUCCGGAGUUGGGCUCACGCGCUGCCCCUCAGCGGGCCGGUGCGGGCCUGAAACUUAACCGUGCGGUGGCCGCGCCGUCGGAUCGAGCGAACAAGGUUCUCGUGCCAUCGCUUCGUGUCCGGCUGGCCCGUGGUCCGCCCCCCGACUGUCGCCCUGCCCUCUCUUUGGGCACGCGGUGGCCGGGCCAGACUACCAGAUGACUGACCUCGGAUCAGGCAGGGAUACCCGCUGAACUUAAGCA
rnacentral:misc_RNA from 1 species